rnacentral:lncRNA from 7 species
UCCAGACGCAAGAAGGUGAAGCAUUACGCAUUUCCAUCUUGGCUUUCUUCUGCCUUAUUUUCACUUGGGAGCCCAGGUGCAUCGUGGGGCACCGGGGGCUGCAGAGCGAGUGUCUCAAGGCAUUUCUCCCCACACAGAUGGAGCUGGACAGCAGAAGAGCUCAGGCCACACGCAGCGCUCUCAUCCUCGCCCAUGGCAGCUUGGCGCUGCGUGCCUCCAAGGAACAGCUGCUUGCCCGCCUGGAGGGAGACAUCGUGGGCAACAUCCUGCUGCUCUACAGCUGCAGCUGCCGGGACCUGCAGAACACGCUUGCGCUGCUGCAGAGCAUCACUGACUUCAGCUCUGCCUUCCAAGCUGUGGGUGACUCUGCCUGCUUCAACCCCUCCUUGAAGGGCAAGCUGCUGGAGAUCCUGACGGUGAGGGCCUAGAGCCAGAGCUGUCUGCAGUGGAGUUUUGGGCUGUGCCAUGAGGCUCGGUUCCCCGGAGCCACACAGGUCUCCCCCGGGCACACGUCUCCAGCUGGUGGGGACCUUGUGUGCUGGCAGGCAGCGGCUGGGCAGCGGGCUUGGUCCACCAGCUGUGCAGCUGC